CAGAGAGUGACACGGCAUCAAAAGCAACACUAAAUGUACUGAUCCUCUUCUUCGCCUGGGCUAUCAGCUGCAAUUUACAUGGUGCUGUCGGCCUAUUUCCUUGCUUGGUGAUUGAGUGUGACUGAUGAUACAAGUCCCAACACAGAGCUGGGAACAGCAUCAGAUUCCCUUACACCCGGUGACAGAGUUGUCUAAGAAGACAUGCUGCCACCUUCUGUCCCUAUUAUGCCUGGACAUCAUGCCCUCUCCCCCAGCUGUCUGCAAGGAAUGGACAGUACACCCUAACAUGACUUCUUCCAGCCCCAUUAUCAUGUGGCAAGGCUUCCUUUGGAUUGUGCAACGGGAAGGUGGAUGGGGUGGA